rnacentral:rRNA from 1 species
UUAAGUUAUUAAGGGCGCACGGUGGAUGCCUUGGCACUAGAAGCCGAUGAAGGACGUUACUAACGACGAUAUGCUUUGGGGAGCUGUAAGUAAGCUUUGAUCCAGAGAUUUCCGAAUGGGGAAACCCAGCAUGAGUUAUGUCAUGUUAUCUAUAUGUGAAUACAUAGCAUAUCAGAAGGCACACCCGGAGAACUGAAACAUCUUAGUACCCGGAGGAAGAAAAAGAAAAUUCGAUUCCCUUAGUAGCGGCGAGCGAAACGGGAAGAGCCCAAACCAACAAGCUUGCUUGUUGGGGUUGUAGGACACUCUAUACGGAGUUACAAAGGACGACAUUAGACGAAUCAUCUGGAAAGAUGAAUCAAAGAAGGUAAUAAUCCUGUAGUCGAAAAUGUUGUCUCUCUUGAGUGGAUCCUGAGUACGACGGAGCACGUGAAAUUCCGUCGGAAUCUGGGAGGACCAUCUCCUAAGGCUAAAUACUCUCUAGUGACCGAUAGUGAACCAGUACCGUGAGGGAAAGGUGAAAAGCACCCCGGAAGGGGAGUGAAAUAGAACCUGAAACCGUGUGCUUACAAGUAGUCAGAGCCCGUUAAUGGGUGAUGGCGUGCCUUUUGUAGAAUGAACCGGCGAGUUACGAUUUGAUGCAAGGUUAAGCAGUAAAUGUGGAGCCGUAGCGAAAGCGAGUCUGAAUAGGGCGUUUAGUAUUUGGUCGUAGACCCGAAACCAGGUGAUCUACCCUUGGUCAGGUUGAAGUUCAGGUAACACUGAAUGGAGGACCGAACCGACUUACGUUGAAAAGUGAGCGGAUGAACUGAGGGUAGCGGAGAAAUUCCAAUCGAACCUGGAGAUAGCUGGUUCUCUCCGAAAUAGCUUUAGGGCUAGCCUCAAGUGAUGAUUAUUGGAGGUAGAGCACUGUUUGGACGAGGGGCCCCUCUCGGGUUACCGAAUUCAGACAAACUCCGAAUGCCAAUUAAUUUAACUUGGGAGUCAGAACAUGGGUGAUAAGGUCCGUGUUCGAAAGGGAAACAGCCCAGACCACCAGCUAAGGUCCCAAAAUAUAUGUUAAGUGGAAAAGGAUGUGGCGUUGCCCAGACAACUAGGAUGUUGGCUUAGAAGCAGCCAUCAUUUAAAGAGUGCGUAAUAGCUCACUAGUCGAGUGACACUGCGCCGAAAAUGUACCGGGGCUAAACAUAUUACCGAAGCUGUGGAUUGUCCUUUGGACAAUGGUAGGAGAGCGUUCUAAGGGCGUUGAAGCAUGAUCGUAAGGACAUGUGGAGCGCUUAGAAGUGAGAAUGCCGGUGUGAGUAGCGAAAGACGGGUGAGAAUCCCGUCCACCGAUUGACUAAGGUUUCCAGAGGAAGGCUCGUCCGCUCUGGGUUAGUCGGGUCCUAAGCUGAGGCCGACAGGCGUAGGCGAUGGAUAACAGGUUGAUAUUCCUGUACCACCUAUAAUCGUUUUAAUCGAUGGGGGGACGCAGUAGGAUAGGCGAAGCGUGCGAUUGGAUUGCACGUCUAAGCAGUAAGGCUGAGUAUUAGGCAAAUCCGGUACUCGUUAAGGCUGAGCUGUGAUGGGGAGAAGACAUUGUGUCUUCGAGUCGUUGAUUUCACACUGCCGAGAAAAGCCUCUAGAUAGAAAAUAGGUGCCCGUACCGCAAACCGACACAGGUAGUCAAGAUGAGAAUUCUAAGGUGAGCGAGCGAACUCUCGUUAAGGAACUCGGCAAAAUGACCCCGUAACUUCGGGAGAAGGGGUGCUCUUUAGGGUUAACGCCCAGAAGAGCCGCAGUGAAUAGGCCCAAGCGACUGUUUAUCAAAAACACAGGUCUCUGCUAAACCGUAAGGUGAUGUAUAGGGGCUGACGCCUGCCCGGUGCUGGAAGGUUAAGAGGAGUGGUUAGCUUCUGCGAAGCUACGAAUCGAAGCCCCAGUAAACGGCGGCCGUAACUAUAACGGUCCUAAGGUAGCGAAAUUCCUUGUCGGGUAAGUUCCGACCCGCACGAAAGGCGUAACGAUUUGGGCACUGUCUCAACGAGAGACUCGGUGAAAUCAUAGUACCUGUGAAGAUGCAGGUUACCCGCGACAGGACGGAAAGACCCCGUGGAGCUUUACUGUAGCCUGAUAUUGAAAUUCGGCACAGCUUGUACAGGAUAGGUAGGAGCCUUUGAAACGUGAGCGCUAGCUUACGUGGAGGCGCUGGUGGGAUACUACCCUAGCUGUGUUGGCUUUCUAACCCGCACCACUUAUCGUGGUGGGAGACAGUGUCAGGCGGGCAGUUUGACUGGGGCGGUCGCCUCCUAAAAGGUAACGGAGGCGCUCAAAGGUUCCCUCAGAAUGGUUGGAAAUCAUUCAUAGAGUGUAAAGGCAUAAGGGAGCUUGACUGCGAGACCUACAAGUCGAGCAGGGUCGAAAGACGGACUUAGUGAUCCGGUGGUUCCGCAUGGAAGGGCCAUCGCUCAACGGAUAAAAGCUACCCCGGGGAUAACAGGCUUAUCUCCCCCAAGAGUUCACAUCGACGGGGAGGUUUGGCACCUCGAUGUCGGCUCAUCGCAUCCUGGGGCUGUAGUCGGUCCCAAGGGUUGGGCUGUUCGCCCAUUAAAGCGGUACGCGAGCUGGGUUCAGAACGUCGUGAGACAGUUCGGUCCCUAUCCGUCGUGGGCGUAGGAAAUUUGAGAGGAGCUGUCCUUAGUACGAGAGGACCGGGAUGGACAUACCUCUGGUGUACCAGUUGUCGUGCCAACGGCAUAGCUGGGUAGCUAUGUGUGGACGGGAUAAGUGCUGAAAGCAUCUAAGCAUGAAGCCCCCCUCAAGAUGAGAUUUCCCAACUUCGGUUAUAAGAUCCCUCAAAGAUGAUGAGGUUAAUAGGUUCGAGGUGGAAGCAUGGUGACAUGUGGAGCUGACGAAUACUAAUCGAUCGAAGACUUAAUCAA